rnacentral:rRNA from 1 species
AUUGAACGCUGGCGGCAGGCCUAACACAUGCAAGUCGAGCGGAUGAGAGAAGCUUGCUUCUCGAUUCAGUGGCGGACGGGUGAGUAAUACCUAGGAAUCUGCCUGGUAGUGGGGGACAACGUUUCGAAAGGAACGCUAAUACCGCAUACGUCCUACGGGAGAAAGCAGGGGACCUUCGGGCCUUGCGCUAUCAGAUGAGCCUAGGUCGGAUUAGCUAGUUGGUGAGGUAAUGGCUCACCAAGGCGACGAUCCGUAACUGGUCUGAGAGGAUGAUCAGUCACACUGGAACUGAGACACGGUCCAGACUCCUACGGGAGGCAGCAGUGGGGAAUAUUGGACAAUGGGCGAAAGCCUGAUCCAGCCAUGCCGCGUGUGUGAAGAAGGUCUUCGGAUUGUAAAGCACUUUAAGUUGGGAGGAAGGGUUGUAGAUUAAUACUCUGCAAUUUUGACGUUACCGACAGAAUAAGCACCGGCUAACUCUGUGCCAGCCGCCGCGGUAACAC